UAUUGCGCGCACUACCAUUCACCACAUCCACUAUUUUAUUUUCACAUUUCACAUUGAUAACCCGCAAUUUCGGCCGGUGACAUCUCAUAUAGGUAAUGUUUACAAGAAUUUUGAUCGAGAUGUGUUUUUACAAACAAUAUUUACACCGAAUUUAAUGGUUAUUACUUAAGGGUAUCACAUUGCUAAGAGACAGAGGGAGGUGGUGGCUAGUUGGAUUUUAGGCGUAAGGAAAAUUACACAAUCUCAAGUAACUAUUGAGAAUGAGAAAACUUCCCACGCUCAAAACUAGAGCAUGCAUGAGUGUUUCCCUUGAGCAUAUAUAGCAACCCUAAAUUCGCUCUCAUCCACUCAUAUAGAACACUUAUUCUUAGACAACCACCUCCUAUAAAUCCACAGUUCAUCUACCUUGCGCCAAGCAAGAAAAACACUUUUGUACACCUCUGCACAUUAGUUCAUCUAUCAUCCAUCCAUGGAGAAGGUGAACACGCGGCUGGUCGUGGUGCUGUUACUGGGCGUGCUGCUGGCAGGGCAGGCGGCCGGCGCCGCGGAAGAAGCGUCGUCGCCGUCGCCGCAGUUGGGCGCAAGCAAGGCUGACUGCGAGGUCUCCGGCACCUGCGAGAUGAAGGCGACGCUCGGCGCCGCCGACCCCACCCGCCCCGGGGCGGUUGCCAACACGUACACCCGCGGCUGCAGCGCGAUCAACCAGUGCCGCGGCUGAUAUCGCCGUCGCCUGCCAACGCCGUGCACGUAUUGCCGCCGCUCCGUCGUCCAUGCAUGCGAACGAAGCUGACUGCUGGUGGUUGUUUCCUAUGUGUCUCGAUUUGUAUGUUAUGAACAUAUUACUACAUCGUGCUAUGAAUAUACUUUGUGAUGAUGUACAUGUACAGGUGUACCACCAUCUAAUUUAGUGUAUUAAGGAUCGGACUUAAUAAAGGUCGGGCUAUAUCAAUAUAUGAUUUUGAGUUAUAAUGAGAUAGAGUUGAGUUGGAUUGUGAAGUCCAUUACCUCCCCUAUCUACAUGUGCGUCCGAUUUUUCUCUUGACCAGAGACAUCAUUUUCUUUCCCAAUUGAAGAC
rnacentral:lncRNA from 1 species